AACCCAGUGGCCUAAUAUACUGUAUAUGGCACCUGCCUCUGGAGCAAGGGGUUGUGGGUUCAAGUCCCACCUGGUUUG